AAGAGGGUUCUUCUCGUUCUCAUUUCUCACAUUUUCUCUACGCUAACAAACCGACCCACCAUGGCCACGAACAAUGGAUUGAGAUCCUGCGCUUCAAAGCUGCUGAAAACUACCGAAAUAAUUCUACCCAAAUCAGGUUCAUACCCUAAUAUGUUUUUUUUUAAUUUACAAAUCAAUCGCUCUAGGGUUUCGCUAUUUGGCUGCUGAGAAGAUUUGGGUAUUAGUUAUUGAUUUUUUGUAUCUUAGCUAAUGAAAUGGGUGGUUUGUUAUUUGAUUGCAAAAUUAUGGAAUAUAAUGUUCUUAUAUCUUAAGAUUUUUUUUUAUUGGUGUUAAUCAUGUGUUUCUUUGUGGUGUGUGCUAUCUGUGUUUGUGUGUGACUGCGUAUAUGUAUAGUAAUUUGAUUUGUGAAAAUUAUUGUGAUAGAUUAGAAUUUAUUUUUAAUGGAUCAGUUUUGAGUAAGUUGUAGUAGUAUAUUUGUGAUGUGGUUUUUGUGCCCAUGUGUGCCCAUGUAUUUGUGAGAACAAAAAUUUAAGCUUUGGUUAAAUGGUUUGAUUUCUUUGUGCUGGAUUAUUUGGAAAUUUCAUGAAGGUUCUGUUAUCUUUCAUGGAAUUAAACUUGGCCUUUGUAAUUUUGAUUAUUCCUCGUCAGUUUACAGAUUUAUUUAAUAUUUAUUUAUUCUUUUUGUACUAUCAAAUGCUGCAUUUUUGAUUGCUUGCUGAUUUAUAGAAUAUGGUAAUCAAAUGGUCUCUGUAAUUUACAAAAUUCAAGUGUGCUCAUUUGUACAUAGGUAUAUACAUGUAAGGAAUGUGACUGACUCAACAAAUGUACUAACCUCGCUGUUAUUUGCCCAAUUACUGAAUGGACGAUACAUGAGGGUGCUCAUAUUCUUCUCACCCUUGCAUGGAUUUGCAAAGACGCUUCCACUUUCAUUUAGUGAAGCCAUUGUAAAUCCAAAAUAAUCAGUCAUUGCUGGAACUCGUGGUCCACUGCCAGUAUCAUGAAAAUCUAUCUGCAUUCAAGUCAUAACAAUCCAAUCCAUUAGUAAGUGAUAUACAGUUUUUAUCAUCAUGGGUUUUACAUCGAGUGUGUAAACCAACUUAUUAUCUCUGCAUGGUUUUGAAACAGGAAAGCUUGAUUGUCCACCAAAUUGUUUAUUACUGCUCACAGUUUUGAAAAACCGAAGCUAGAUGACUGGUUGUUUUAAACUUGGACUAUGACUGAAGUAUACCCAACUUAGUUUAAGUUUGUCAUGUUGGGGUUGGGAUGACAGAUUUCAAACGAGCACAUUUGAUUUAGUAUGUCUAUAUGAACUCUAAGGAGUCAGUUGUAAACAUCAAUGCCACUAUCAAUGAAACUUCAAAAAAAAAGUUUGUGGUCUAUUUUAUAAUAGGGAAGAGUAACCAUAUUCUCCUCUUCGCGAAC
rnacentral:lncRNA from 1 species